AUUGAACGCUGGCGGAAUGCUUAACACAUGCAAGUCGAGCGGGCUGUAGCAAUACAGCUAGCGGCGGACGGGUGAGGAAUACAUAGGAAUCUGCCUCAGAGUGGGGGAUAGCCCGGGGAAACCCGGAUUAAUACCGCAUGAUGUCGUAAGACCAAAGCAGGGGACCGUAAGGCCUUGCGCUUUGAGAUGAGCCUAUGUCGGAUUAGCUAGUUGGCGGGGUAAAAGCCCACCAAGGCGACGAUCCGUAGCUGGUCUGAGAGGACGAUCAGCCACACCGGAACUGAGACACGGUCCGGGACUCCUACGGGAGGCAGCAGUGGGGAAUUUUGGACAAUGGGGCAACCCUGAUCCAGCCAUGCCGCGUGUGUGAAGAAGGCCUCGGUUGUAA
rnacentral:rRNA from 1 species